AAUCAGACACCAUCAGCAGGGAGAGCACCUGUGUUUUUGUGAAGAAUUAUGCCGAGGUAGGUAACGGAUGGAGAAGAAAUUUGAGCUUUGGAGGGGGAUACCCGAUAUCCUUUGGAGAAUAAAUGCUGAAGGAGCAGAAGUAUGUCUUGUUGAGAAGAUUCAAAGGAGGGGCUACAAAGAAGAAGGUCAUCAAUAUAUUGAAUAAGGGCUUCUGAGGCGAUCAGGCAGCGUCAGUCUUCAGCCACUAAGCCAAGAAGGAGUCAGUCAGAGAGCCUUGGGCCAGAGUUCCAGGGGCGCUGGGAGUGGCUGCCAGGCUUCAUCCAUGUGCUAGUUCAGCCUGUGAGAUGCUGGUGAGCCCACCUCCAGGCACUCACGGACUCCCCACCCAUUGAGUGUGGCCUGGAUUUAGUGACUCAAUCAAACGUGACAGAGUGCUGGGGUGUCAUUUUCAAGACUGGGUUAUGUGAAGACUGCAGCCUCCAUCUGGGGUGCUCUCUCUUGGAUUGCUUGCUCAGGGAUGUGGGGAGAGCUGCUGUGCUGGGAGGCUGCCCAUGUGAGUUGACUUGGAUGUGAACCUUCUGUGGCCUGCCAAUAGCCACGUGAGUGACCUUGAAAAUGGAUCAGCCUUCACUCAAGUCUCAAGAUGACUGUGGUCUUGGCUGACAGCUUGAUUGCUGUCUCAUGGGGGACCUUAAACCAAAGGCACCCUGCUAAGCCACACACAGCUUCCUGGCCCACAGAAACUAUGAAAUAAUAACCAUUUCUUAUAUAAGCCUCCAAGUUUUGGGAGUAAUAUUUUGCACAGUGAUGGAUCACUAAUACAAGCCAGUCAUCAGUUGAAAGACACUGAAUUUAUUUCCAGUUUUAUGUGAUUAUGAAUAAUGUCACCAUAUGCAUUUGCAUACAGGUGUUUGUGUGGACACUGCUGUCAUUUCUCUUGGGAAGAUACUGAGGAGUCAGAUUGCUGGAUCCCGUGAAGAAUGUAUGUUGAAUGUUAUAAAAAUCUGCCAACUUAAAUCUGUUUCCUGGUGCUCUUUCGUCAGCAUUGGGAGAUGCUCUAACAUUUCUCACCAAGUCUUUCUUCUGCUCAUGCGCUCCCUCUUCUUUCCCUAAGACUUCAAUCAUCCUCCUCAUUGCCCUUUAUAUCUCUAAACCAUUGUCUGGAGUUUCCAUUCUUCCCUUUUGCUUCAAUCUGUUUCAUUCUGGGGAUUUUCUGAGUUAUCUUCCACUUCUCCAGUUAUUUUUUAUUUGUUUUGUUUUUAAACAACUAUAUCUAAUUAAAUUUAACUUUAUCCUCUGUUGUACUCAAUUUUAUUACUGCAUUUUCCAAUUUCAGAAUUUCCAUUUGACGAUUUCCUUAUAGUUUCCUAUUUCUGCUGAAAUUCUCGUUGUUUUAUUUCGUGGGGGGCUGAGUAAACAUACUUAUUUUAAGGCAUGUGUCUUUGAAUUCCAACCUUUUGAAUCCCUGUGGACAUAUUGCAAUUGGCUGCCGUCUCUGCUUUUAAUUUUUUAUCUUAUUUUGUGUGCUCCUAUGCCUGGUUAUUUCUAACUGUGUUGGACUUUGCAUUUGAAAAAUGGUUUCUAUGAAUGUUUUGAAGCCUAGGAUGCUAUUACUGCCCUUUGGGGAAAAUGUACACGUGUUUCUCCCAGGUACCUGUAGGCCUGGUUACAUCUGGGCAACUCAACAUGGUUCUUGGUUCUGGUUCACUCUGACUCUUGGGAAGAACACUUGAAGGCCCCACCCCAAGGCCUUGGUGGGGCCACGACUCAGUUUCUUGCCCUGUAAUUUGAGAAGGCAGUCAGAAGCACAACUUGACUUCUUAGCUGCCUUCUCUGAACAAUGUGGGUACCCUUAUGUCCCCAUGAGCCAAGCUUCAAGUGUGGGCUUCCUUGCUUCGGCUCACCUUGCACCCCACUCCCAGGUCUUCAACUGCUUCCCAGCAUUUCAGCAUCAUGAUGGUUCUCCCACGCCUCUAAUUAGACUAAACAAACAUGCUUUUCCCAGCCCUGCGGGAGGCCCUCAGGAAUAGUUGGUCUGAGUCUUCCCAUCAGUUAUUCCCAGACGCCUUUGUCUUCUUUUAUUUGUGAGAGAAAAUACUUGCGUGAUCCUCAGCUUUUGUACCUGCAAUCAAGCCACUUUCUAAAUGUGGCACUCAUUGAUGUACUUAAAAUACCUGAAGCCAGUCUGGCACUUAUCAUUUCUUUAAUAUUAUUUUCCUUCACAUUUCUUAGUUUCCAGAAUAAUUUUUUAAUUAAAAAUAUUGGUAGAGAAUCUAUUGCCUUCUUCUGCUCAGUAUAAGACUAAUUUUGGACCAGUUCUUUUAGAUUAACACUCCAUAAAAUUUCGGAAAAGUCAACAAGGAGUGAAUAGAAUUCCAAUUCUUUAACUGAAGCAAUCAUAUGCUGACAAUAAUACUUGCAGGGGAGUUUCAUGGUUUAUAUUCUAUUUUCCAGUUCUUAACCCUACUUCAUUUUCAUAUUUUAAAUCCAUUCCUCCCAGAAAGUUGAUACAGCCUAAAACUUUUGUACAUUUACUUCUGAGUUUAAAAAGUGCUUACCAUUUGAGAUGGAAUUUCCAUUUUCAGCAGUUAUAGCACUAGAUAGUGAAUUAGAUAACUGAAUUCCAUGGUUAUUUGCAUUUCUGUCUUGAGUCUCGGAAGUAAUUUCUGACGUACUAGGGUCAUCUCGGCUACUUAUGUUCAUGUUAGUUUCAAAACCUAAAAUAAAUUUUAGAAAACAUAAUUAUUUUCUGAUAACAUGUACUGAAUAUACUGAAUAAAACAUUUGGAGAAAAUAAUAAAACAUCAAAUCAAACAUUCAUGACAUUUAAAAUAAUAAUAAUCUUUAAUAAAAUUUGUAGCCUAUAUAAUAUUCACCAAAUUUUGCCACAACAAUGUCAAACAAAAAGGAAAAUGUCAAGUGGUAACAAUAAUUUGUUGCAUUCAAACAUAUUUAUAAAGAAUUUUUGAUGUCAUAGAUCAAAUAACUUGUCAUUAUAGUAUUGCCUGUCAUGAGAAAGCAAUGAGUUCAUGUUUCAGGAGUUUUCUGAAUGAUUACAUUUAAAUAAAUUAAGGCAAUCUUACAGCUUUGGAAAAAAUAAGAAACACUUGAGUGAUAAGAAACACUAUAGUGAUAUUUUCAACAUCACUAUAAACACUUUUAGUGUCCAUGUUGGAAUACUGAACUUCAAUACUCGACUUCCGCAUUCUGCACACUAAGAUAAUUACUUAAAUAUGUAAUGCUUGUCCUAUGUUAAGUGUUUUGAGAGGUACGAACACGAAAGCCACUGUCCAAAUUCCACUGAAGGGCCUGAUGAAGACUUUUUAAAGUGAUGUAAUAUUAAUAAAGUGAAACACAGCAAAUGCUUCUAUUUGGAAAAAUGUCCAAUGGAGGUAGGUUUCCCCAUGGUCACUGCAUUACCCUUAGGCACAAAAUCAGACUUUGCAAAUCAGGCACAACUGCCAUCAAGGGGCCAGACAUCCCCCCAUCACCACCUCUGCCAAGUUCCCUUUCUCUGACUUCACAGGUGCACCUGGGAUUGGCUCUUGCUUCCUAAGGAACCUCAAAAAAGCUGCAACCUAUUGGAGACUUUUGAUUCAGCAUCAAGGAUAUGCGUGAGACUUUGGUUCUUUUCUGUUGGGACACAGUUGAUUCUGACUGUCUUAAAGUUAGGCUUUUCUAAAGAUUUAGACUAAUAAAUUAUUUGAAUGGGACAACACACAUCAUUUGCUUUAUUAUACUUUAAAUAUGGCAGAACGGUGUAUUACCACCCCAAUCCCAAUCACCGGUACCUCCAUAGGCAGA
rnacentral:lncRNA from 1 species